rnacentral:lncRNA from 1 species
AUGAGAUCUAGGACAGAAUAUUUCAAAAAAAAUUAUCCUACAAUAUUUUAGAUCUAAGAUCUAUUAGAUCUAAUUUUUAUUAUUUGAUAUUAAAUCUAAAAAUAUGAGGAAUAGAGAAAUAUCUCUAGGGUAACUAGGUUAUCCUGUAGAUGAUCGCAGCAAUGCCCGUGGUUCUAAAAUAGCCAUACAGUCACUUAGCCUCUACCGG